AAUCUAUGAUGAGAUUCCACAGGUCCGUGUUUCUGAAUCCUGAUUAUCUAAAAGUGGUCUGAGCUU
rnacentral:snoRNA from 1 species